CCUACGGGAGGCAGCAGUGAGGAAUAUUGGUCAAUGGCCGGAAGGCUGAACCAGCCAAGCCGCGUGAAGGACGAAGGUGCCAAGCAUUGUAAACUUCUUUUGUCCAGGGACAAAAUCAGGCUCGAGAGCCUGACCGAGGGUACUUGAAGAAAAAGCAUCGGCUAACUCCGUGCCAGCAGCCGCGGUAAUACGGAGGAUGCGAGCGUUAUCCGGAUUUAUUGGGUUUAAAGGGUGCGUAGGCGGAGUGUUAAGUCAGCGGUAAAAGCCCGGGGCUCAACCCCGGAGAGCCGUUGAGACUGGCUGUCUGGAGAGUACGAGAGGUAUGCGGAAUGCGCAGUGUAGCGGUGAAAUGCUUAGAUAUUGCGCAGAACUCCGAUUGCGAAGGCAGCAUACCGGCGGCGAUCUGACGCUGAGGCACGAAAGCGUGGGUAUCGAACAGGAUUAGAUACCCUAGUAGUC
rnacentral:rRNA from 1 species